GUAGGGAAUAUUGGACAAUGGGCGAAAGCCUGAUCCAGCAACGCCGCGUGCGCGAUGAAGGCCUUCGGGUUGUAAAGCGCUUUUCGGGGGGAUGAGGAAGGACAGUACCCCCGGAAUAAGUCUCGGCUAACUACGUGCCAGCAGCCGCGGUAAAACGUAGGAGGCAAGCGUUAUCCGGAUUUACUGGGCGUAAAGCGCGUGCAGGCGGUUCGGUAAGUCGGACGUGAAAGCUCCUGGCUCAACUGGGAGAGGCCGUUCGAUACUACCGAACUAGAGGGCAGGAGAGGGAGGUGGAAUUCCGGGUGUAGCGGUGAAAUGCGUAGAUAUCCGGAGGAACACCAGUGGCGAAGGCGGCCUCCUAGUCUGCCCCUGACGCUCAGACGCGAAAGCUAGGGGAGCGAACGGGAUUAGAAACCCCAGUAGUCC
rnacentral:rRNA from 1 species